rnacentral:ncRNA from 1 species
UCCGUAGAGCAGUGCGGUUCUUGCGCUGUCCGGUGCGCUCGCGUCGGCCCUUGAAAAUCCGAGUGAGGGAGUGUGAUUUUCGUGCCGGACCGUACCCACAUCCGCAGCAGGUCUCCAAGGUGAACAGCCUCUAGUCGAUGGACCAAUGUAGGUAAGGGAAGUCGGCAAAACGGAUCCGUAACCUUGGGAUAAGGAUUGGCUCUGAGGACUGAGCCGGUCGGGCUGGGGACCUAAAGCAGGAACGGCACUGCACCGGGACUGGGCGGGGCUCGCCGUUCACGCGGCGCGGCCAAGCCCGGACCAGCGUCGGGACCUUCCUGUGGAAAGCCUCAGCUGCGCGGCGUCUGAGGGCUUCGUGCCCAAAGUGCUAUGCUUCGGCCGGCAAAAAACAGUCAACUCAGAACUGGCACGGACCGGGGGAAUCCGACUGUCUAAUUAAAACAAAGCAUUGCGAUGGCCGCUGGUCGGUGUUGACGCAAUGUGAUUUCUGCCCAGUGCUCUGAAUGUCAACGUGAAGAGAUUCAUCAAAGCGCGGGUAAACGGCGGGAGUAACUAUGACUCUCUUGGCUGUGCAGAAAAUGUAGCCAUUCUGGCUACCGCAUUAGAUGAGGCUAAGACCUCGAGGAAACCCCUGUUCCUUGCCAGUGUGGACCUCACCAAGGCGUUCGAUCGGGUUUCCACGGAGGCCAUUCUACGGGGGGCAGCCCGUGCCGGUCUCUCGGCACCGUUUCUGGAGUACCUACAGAGUCUGUAUGGAACCUCGGAGACGGUGCUCGGGUAUGGAGGGAAAACGCUCUUGGUGAGGCCCACUACUGGGGUGAGACAGGGAGAUCCUCUUUCACCUGUACUGUUUAACCUCGUGCUGGACGAGUGGCUCAGCGACCUCGACCCUGAGAUAGGGUUCACUAGUGGGGAAUUUAAAGUCGACGCCAUGGCUUUUGCCGACGACCUGGUCGUAAUGGCGUCGACUCCGCGGGGACUCCAGAGAAAGACUGGAUG